rnacentral:rRNA from 1 species
UACGUAGGGACCAAGCGUUGUUCGGAUUUACUGGGCGUAAAGGGCGCGUAGGCGGCGAAUCAAGUCAGCUGUGAAAUCUCCGAGCUUAACUCGGAACGGUCAGCUGAUACUGUUUUUUGCUAGAGUGCAGAAAGGGCAACCGGAAUUCUUGGUGUAGCGGUGAAAUGCGUAGAUAUCAAGAGGAACACCUGAGGCGAAGGCGGGUUGCUAGGCUGACACUGACGCUGAAGCGCGAAAGCUAGGGUAGCAAACGGG